CCAGAACUAUCUCUUCUUAUUGGUAGGAGCCCCUGCGCAAGUAAACUAAACCAGAAACCUCAGCUCUCUCUCUCUCUCUCUCUCUCCCGCUUUCCUUGUAUUUCUUUCUUUCUUUCUUUCUGGAUCCUUCUGUGUUUUCGAUCUUCAACCAUGGUUCUCGAGGCUACAAUGAUCUGUGUUGAUAAUUCAGAAUGGAUGCGAAAUGGUGAUUAUUCGCCCUCUAGAUUUCAAGCUCAGGCCGAUGCUGUUAAUCUUAUUUGUGGAGCUAAGACACAGUCUAAUCCGGAGAAUACAGUUGGAGUUCUGACAAUGGCUGGGAAAGGUGUCCGUGUUUUGGUCACUCCUACCAGUGAUCUUGGAAAGAUCCUGGCAUGUAUGCAUGGUUUAGAAAUUGGUGGUGACAUGAACCUGGCAGCUGGUAUCCAGGUGGCUCAGUUGGCUCUCAAGCAUCGCCAAAAUAAGAAGCAGCAACAAAGAAUUAUUGUCUUUGUUGGAAGUCCAAUUAAACAUGAUAAGAAGGCGCUGGAGAUGAUUGGAAGGAAGUUGAAAAAGAACAGUGUAGCACUUGAUAUUGUUGACUUUGGCGAAGAAGAUGAUGGUAAACCUGAGAAGCUAGAGGCACUUCUUGCUGCCGUGAACAAUAAUGACACCAGCCACAUUGUCCAUGUUCCACCUGGUCCAAGUGCUCUUUCUGAUGUACUCAUAAGUACACCUGUCUUCACUGGGGAUGGGGAAGGUGGAAGUGGUUUUGCUGCAGCAGCCGCAGCAGCUGCAGCUGGUGGUGUCUCUGGCUUUGAUUUUGGUGUAGAUCCCAACCUCGAUCCUGAGCUGGCCCUUGCUCUCAGGGUUUCCAUGGAAGAGGAGAGGGCCAGACAGGAAGCAGCUGCUAAAAAGGCUGCCGAGGAGGCUUCUAAACAGGAAAAAGGAGGGGAACAGGCAUCCAGCUCACAGGAUGCAACUAUGACUGAGCGUGCCACUGUUGCAACUUCUGAAGCUGAAAAUAAGACGAAUGAUUCAGCGGAUGAUGAUAAUGCACUGCUACAGCAGGCUCUUGCUAUGUCAAUGGAUCAACCUGCCUCCGGCCAUGAUGCGCGAGACACAGAUAUGUCAGAUGCAGCUGGAGAUGAUCCAGAAUUGGCUCUAGCACUUCAAUUGUCUGUACAAGAAGGUAAUAAAGACCCAACAAGCCAGACUGAUAUGAGUAAACUGCUGGCUGAUCAGAAUUUUGUGUCUAACAUACUUGCCUCGGUAUCUUCCAGGGGUUGAUCCAAAUGAUCCUUCAGUUAAAGAUUUGCUUGCUUCCAUGCAAAGCCAGUCAGAGCCUGAACAGAAGAAGAAGGAUGAUGACAAUGCACCUAACGAGGACGGGAAGUGAACUUGAAUCUAGAGUUGUUUUAGAAGUCAAAAAGCUCUCCAUUGUUUGCACCGUUAUUUGUGUUGGAAAGGGCUAUCAGUCGAGCAAAGUGUGCAACAUUGAAAUGUAACUCUACAUUGUUUCAACAUUAAUACAUCUUUACCUUACUGAGAAUUAUGCAUUUGAUUCUAUUUUUAUUUUAUUUUAUUUUAUUUUAUUUA